rnacentral:rRNA from 1 species
CCCUUAGAUGUUCUGGGCCGCACGCGCGCUACACUGACGAAGUCAGCGAGCAUCUCCUUCGCCGAAAGGUGCGGGGAAUCUUGUGAAACUUUGUCGUGCUGGGGAUUGAUUUUUGAAAUUCUUGAUCAUCAACGAGGAAUUCCUAGUAAGCGCAAGUCAGCAGCUUGCGUUGAUUACGUCCCUGCCCUUUGUACACACCGCCCGUCGCACCUACCGAUUGAAUGACUCGGUGAAAAAUUGGGACCGUGAGUCUGUUUGCUUCAUUGCGAGUGGAUUGAUGGGAACUUUUUUAAACCUCGCCAUUUAGAGGAAGGUGAAGUCGUAACA